rnacentral:lncRNA from 1 species
AUGACAAAAGGAAACAGAAGAGAAGAACGCAUGAUCCAGGCAAAGGGAAACACAGCACCAUUAGGUCUGAUUUACCUGAAAUCUGAGAUGCAGAGCUGUGGAAGGAGGAGAGCUGACAUCAUUUCAAGCCUCUUGAGGCUCCUUGGCAGGUGUUUUUCGUGGGCUGUCAACCGGAGAGCACGAAAAGGGACUUUGGGCAACAAGAGAAACCUGCAGCAGGGAGCCAGCUCCCGAGGCAGCCCAGCUUCCUCAGGGAAGGGUCUGUUGCAGGUAAGUACAAAAUACACUGAGAUCCCAACAACAUCAUUCCAGACACAUUCUCCACUGAGUUAUUAAGCGCUGACAGCGUGCUCAUCACCCGGGGUUAAACGCAUCCCACGGAAAGGAAUUACACAGGCCCAUAUGCUACCUUGCGAGAGCCAAGCAAGCCUUUUUAUGAAUAAAAUAUUUCUCUGAAAAACA